UACGGAGGUGGCAAGCGUUAUCCGGAUUUAUUGGGCGUAAAGGGAACGCAGGCGGUCUUUUAAGUCUGAUGUGAAAGCCUUCGGCUUAACCGGAGUAGUGCAUUGGAAACUGGGAGACUUGAGUGCAGAAGAGGAGGGUGGAACUCCAUGUGUAGCGGUGAAAUGCGUAGAUAUAUGGAAGAACACCAGUGGCGAAAGCGGCUCUCUGGUCUGUAACUGACGCUGAGGUUCGAAAGCGUGGGUAGCAAACAGG
rnacentral:rRNA from 1 species